UAAAAUGGAAUAUAUGUAAAAAGCAAUAUACAAAAAUAUUGUUAAGGCCCUGUUUGGAUACCCUUCAAAAUAUAGCAUAGUUAAACUAUAAUAUACCAGUAGAAAAUUUAUACUAUGAAGCGUUUUGGAGAAAAAAAAAAUACCGUAACUUUUGGAGAAUAGUUAAUAUACUCCAAAAAAUUAAUUAACCAAAGGAAAAGAAUUCUACCAUCCUUGGGCAAAAAUGCAUCAAGUUCUAACUUUCAAAUUUCAAUAUGAAAUUUUAAAUUUCAACAUAGAAUUUAAAUUUUAAAUUUUACAAUUUAAUUUAUAUACAAAUUUUUAAUUUCAAAUUUAAAAUUUGAAUUUUAAAUUUGAAAUAUCAAAAAUUAAAUUUUAUAAUUUCAAAAUUUAAUGUCAAAUAUUAAAUUUUAAAUUUUUUAAUUUUAUAAAUUCAAAUUUUAAUUAUCGAAUAUCAAAUUUUAAAUUUUAGUUUACAAAUAAUAAAAUUUCAAAUUUCAAAUUUUUUAAUUUAUAAUUUCAAUUUUCAAUUCUAAAUUUUUAAUUUUCAAUUUUAAUUUCAAAUUUCAAAUUUCAAAUUUCAAAUUUAGAAUUUCAAAUUUUAUUUUAAAUUUUAGUUUUCAAAUUUCAAAUUUUAAAUUUUAAAUUUCAAAUAUCAUAUUUUAAGCUUCAAAUUUUAAAUUUUAAAUUUCAAAUUUUAAUUUUCAAAUUUCAAAUUUUAUGUUUUAAAUUUCAAUUUUCAAAUUUCAAAUUUCAAUUUUCAAAUUUCAAACUUUAAAUUUUAAUUUUUAAGUUUUAUGUUUUAAAUUUUAAAUUUUAAAUUUUAAAUUUCAAAUUUGAAAUUCAAAUCUCAAAUCUCAUUGUUCAAAUUUCAAAUUUGAACAUUAAAUUUUAAAUUUAUUUUAAAUUUUAAAUUUAAAAUUCUAAAUUUAAAAUUUAAAAUUUAAAAAUUUAAGAUUUUUCAUUUUAGAAUUUUAAAUUUCAAAAUCUUAAAAUUAAAUUUAGAUUUUUAUAUUUUAAAUUUUUAAUUUUCAAAAUUUAAAAUUUAAAAUUUAAAAUUUCACAUUUCACAUAUCAAAUUUUAAAUUUUAAAUUUUAUUGAAAUUUAAAAUUUGAAAUUUUAACUUUUAAUUUAUAAAAUUUAGGAAAAUCCUGUGAAAUUGCACAAUCCGCAUCCAAACAGUUUAAAAUUUGAAUCCGUGGAACUUUUUAGAAUUACAAGAUUCUCUAUUUUAUUUGGACCAAAAUCACAGUUUAUAAAUUGAAUCAAGUGUAAGAAAGAUAGCAGCUUUACGAUAAUAUUUGAGAAUUGGAAUUUUUUUUUAAAAAAAUAGCUAUCAUCAAAUUUUUUGUCAUUUAAGUACGGUCAGUGUAACUUAUCUGCCUAGAAGCAUAUCAUUACAAACUUC
rnacentral:lncRNA from 1 species